rnacentral:rRNA from 1 species
CCUACGGGAGGCAGCAGUGAGGACUAUUGGUCAAUGGGCGGAAGCCUGAACCAGCCAAGUCGCGUGCAGGAUGACGGCCCUACGGGUUGUAAACUUCUUUUGUCAGGGAGCAAUUGGGUCCACGCGUGGGCUUAGCGAGAGUACCUGAAGAAAAAGCAUCGCCUAACUCCUUGCCAGCAGCCGCGGAAAUACGGAGGGGGCAAGCGUUAUCCGGAUUUACUGGGUGGAAGGGGAGCCUAGACGGCAAGGCAAGGGUGGAGUGAAAGGCCGUGGCCCAACCACGGGCCUGCUUUGGAAACUGUGUUGGUUGAGUGCAGGAGGGGUAAGCGGAAUUCCUAGUGUAGCGGUGAAAUGCGUAGAUAUUAGGAGGAACACCGGUGGCGAAGGCGGCUUACUGGACUGUAACUGACGUUGAGGCUCGAAGGCGUGGGGAGCAAACAGGAUUAGAUACCCGGGUAGUC